CUGUAAAUGUGAUGUUACUUUAAAUGUUGUGUUUAGCCAGUAGAGGGCAGUGUAGCGGAAGUUAUCGCUGGACAUUUACUUUGAAAAAACGCAAGGCAAUCGUCUUCCUGUUUAGAUUUCCAACUUCGCCUUUGAUUCUGCGUUUAAGACAAAUUAUCCGUGAAGUUAUAAGCAGCAAAUGAGCCUGCCACGCUCAGCACCAGCUCACAGAAAAGUGCUAUGGAAAGGAGGAGUACCUUCCUUCGGGACAUUUUUCCUCACUGAAGACAAAGAAAAAGAGUGGAUGCACAUUAACCAGAACAUUUGCUUCAAACGAACCACUUGGCUGUUCUCCAGCUGCUGAGGUCUCAGAAAAAUCCCACACAUCCAUCUCUGUACAACGCACAAACGGCUAAAACAAAGGAGAAUUCUGGAAAGGGAGACAUAGGAGCACAUUAAGACACACAAGGUAAGGAUUCAGACAAUUUAUAGGAAGGUUGUGAAUUGGAUUUUGUUUUUUUUUUCUUGGCAACAACAAGAAAAUUCCUGGACGAUAUGGUUCUAGUCUAGUUCAUUCGCCUAAGCACUCUGAUUUAGACUCUGGUCCAGUAAACUGCCCAGUUGAGAUAGAGUCACCGUUAGGCUAAAAAUAAACAAAGAAAGUUUUAACUGCCUUAAAUUAGGUAAUUUUCUCUCAACUGCAGUUAUUACUUUAAAUUAUUUAAGUUACAAUCCUGUACUUCAAAUGAAGACAGAAGCUUCACACUGUAGAAUAUGAAGAAAAA